AUGCAUGUUUGUUUUCACAUGCGCGUGUUUUCAUCUCAUUUUGUUGUUGCUUUUUUUUGUUCAACAUUUAUUUUGUCUGUUUUUUUUUGUUGCGAAAAUAAAAUUCAUUUUGUUGUUGCUCUUCUUGGAGAGGCCAUAAAGAAAGAGUGGUAUAUAAUUUUUGGAUCAUCUCUAACCUCACGUUACAUUUUGCUAGCUAGCUACUCCUAUAGAUGUGUUUGCAUGUUGGCAGAGUUUCUUACCUUGGUGCAUGCGCGAGUGGCACAAAAUCUUCUCUUGCUGCAUGUUUUCUUUGGGGGGUCAGAAGAAGAUGAUAGAAAGGAGAAAAGCAAACUCGUAUGUCCUCUUUUGUGUACUUGUCUUGUGACCUGUGAAAUGGUUUAUUUAUUUAUUUCGCGGGUGCAAAUGAAUUGGGAGAGCUGA
rnacentral:rRNA from 1 species